rnacentral:misc_RNA from 1 species
AAAGUCGUAACAAGGUAACCGUAGGUGAACCUGCGGUUGGAUCAUUAAAAAAUCCAAGGCGAGAGUCUUAACCGAUGUCUCUGCCUUAAACUGGCCUUCGGGCCUUUAACCCACUGUGAACUGUUUAUUGACUCUGGCUAGAGGCGAAUGCGCUAGCCGGUUAAAAACUUUUAACCUAAUUUCUUUUGUCUUACUUAAAAGAUUUAAUCUUUACAACUUUUGACAAUGGAUCUCUAGGCUCUC